rnacentral:rRNA from 1 species
UGGGGAAUUGUUCGCAAUGGGCGCAAGCCUGACGACGCAACGCCGCGUGGAGGAUGAAGAUCUUCGGGUCGUAAACUCCUUUCGAUCGAGACGAAUGGGCUUUGAGUUAAUAGCUCGAAGCAUUGACGGUACCGAGAGAAGAAGCCCCGGCUAACUCCGUGCCAGCAGCCGCGGUAAUACGGGGGGGGCAAGCGUUGUUCGGAAUUACUGGGCGUAAAGGGCUCGUAGGUGGCCAACUAAGUCAUACGUGAAAUCCCUCGGCUUAACCGGGGAACUGCGCCUGAUACUGGUUGGCUUGAGUUUGGGAGAGGGACGCGGAAUUCCAGGUGUAGCGGUGAAAUGCGUAGAUAUCUGGAGGAACACCGGUGGCGAAGGCGGCGUCCUGGACCAAUACUGACACUGAGGAGCGAAAGCCAGGGGAGCAAACGG